UCUCCAGAAUACGCAGGAGUGAGGCUGGC
rnacentral:piRNA from 1 species